CUGCCACGGCGCGUUCUGUUCUGACCUCAUGACAGUACCAUGCGGUCUGGGCUGCGUUGUGCUUGAUGAUGGUGUCACGUUUACCGGGGCACCGAUCCGCGCAGGUAUCGCUUCACAGGUUCACUGUAUUAAUUGAUGACAAGUCCUAAUUAAAACACACAGUUGGCAGCUAAUGUAAUGCCCAAGUCGAAUUGCGUUGUUGCUGUAGUAUCGUCAGCAUCGGCAUGUCGUGCCGCGGCGGGGAGAACGAGGGCAAUACCGAGACCCGACCCCGCCGAAUCAGACUCAUCGGCGUCAGCGGGGAGCUCAUCGAAACGGACCUGAAGCGAAUCAAGCAGGAGGCGGGUUCCGAGUCCGGCUGGGAUAUCGAGACGGUGGUUGUGGGACUCGACAGCGAAGGAGAGGCGGAGGAGAGAGACGCCGCCGGGAGCUACACCUUUCCAGCCGCGGCCCCCCUGCUCUCCGGCGGCCCCAGGUUCGGACCAGCGGGCCAUGCACCCCCCCGUAAGAUCUCUGCUCCCUGGGAUCACGAUGACAUCACGGCCCUGAUCUCGGUGUGGGGUCAGGAUCGGUUCCAGGCGGAGCUGAGCGAGACGUUCCGGAACAUCCAGGUGUUCGAGCGCAUCGCUGCGGCCCUGCGGCGCAUGGGGGUCCAGCGCAGCGCCGUGCAGUGCCGGGGCAAGAUCAAGAAACUGAAGCAGGAGCACAAGCGCUGCGGAGAGAGCCUGGCCAGGGGGGGCUGCGAGCACAGAGCCUUCCGAUACUACCAGCAGCUGGAGCGCGUCCUGAGCCGCAGGAGAGCCCCUCGGGAGCCAGCUGGAGCGCAGGGGGGGGGGCCCGGGGAGGAGGAGGAGACGACACGGGACAGCUUCUUCAUGAGCGACCCCGCUGGCGGCCCCCCCCUGGAGCCCCUGGCCCCUCCACUCUGUAUCCAGGGACCCCCCCUGGAACCGGGGACCCCCACAGCCCUGGAGGAGGCGCCCAGCUCCAGCAAGGCAGAGGCACCGGCUCCCACACCCACAGCGCCCCCAAAGCCGAGACGCCGUUACCAAUCCCACAAUGCUCCCCGCGCACCGGCUGGCCGCUCUAGUCCCAUCUCCGCACUCUGUUGUCGGAGAAGGGAGGAGCUGAGAGGGGGGGGGGGACGGACACCCCUGCCAAAUCCAUUCUUUGUACCUGUUUUCUGGGCGGCUCCUCUUGUUUGUAAACUCUCUUAUGUUAUUGAGAUGUGAAAAGGCCUGGAAGAGAGGCUAGGGAAUCAGUCUGAGGAUUACGAACAUGUGCUCUGUGUUAAUUGCUGUUAUUGUUAUUGCUCUUCUACAUGUUGUUAUUAUUAUUAUUAUUAUUAUUUGCCUGUAAUUCUUGUGUAAAUUCGCUAGCUGUGGUAAGUGGUUCUCAUCCACUCCAGUGCCCUUCUGUCCUCCUGAAGCACGCAAAUCAUUCCUCUAAAUUAUUCUAUUAAAACCGAACCAGGAGCCACACAGACUCGUUAUCCUGUCAUUCCUGUUUGCACCCGGACAGCACAAUCUGUCAGCCCGCCAAUCAACUUCAGCUUUGCUUGAACUCCCUACGGAACUACAACUCUGACGAACUGAACUACAACUCCCACCAUGCUGCGCCCCACCCUAGCCACACCCCUGCCCGGCUCCUUGGUGGCGUCACAAAGCCGCUACCCCGGCCACACGUGGUGCGAAACGCAUUGCUGUUUAUUGUGGUGUUAGCGGCGGAGCAGGGUUUGCGCAGUAAACUGAAGUCCUCCCCUGACCGCUGUCUCUCUGCCCCUGUGUCCGGGUGCUGCUGCAGUUCACACACACGGCAGCCGGCUGGUUGAGUCGAGUAGCGCAGCCUCCAGAAGCAGUACUGGGGAGGGGUGUGGCUCCCCCUGCAGGAUUCCCUCGACAGUGCAACUCAAAAAGCAGCAGAGCGAGGCCAUGGAGGAGGAGCGAGGGCCCCUUAAAGGGAAGGGCCCGGGGAAGCAGCCCGCUGGCGCUGCUGCCCUUAGAGGGAAGGCUAAACCGGCCCGCGGUCGCAAAGCUGCCUCGGCCAGGAAGGCGCCACCAGCGCUGGAGGAAGAGGAGGAGCUGAGGAAGGAGGCCCCCGGAGGUAUUAAACCCUAUGGUUGGCACUCCUUCAAAAGGACAAUAAAUAAAAACAGUUCUCACUGCCUGCACUGAAAAGGAUUUAAAAAAAAAAUUACUAUGU